UGUGAACUCGAAGAGUAGGGCGGGACACGUGGUAUCCUGUCUGAAUAUGGGGGGACCAUCCUCCAAGGCUAAAUACUCCUGACUGACCGAUAGUGAACCAGUACCGUGAGGGAAAGGCGAAAAGAACCCCGGCGAGGGGAGUGAAAAAGAACCUGAAACCGUGUACGUACAAGCAGUGGGAGCACCUUCGGGUGUGACUGCGUACCUUUUGUAUAAUGGGUCAGCGACUUAUAUUCUGUAGCAAGGUUAACCGUAUAGGGGAGCCGCAGGGAAACCGAGUCUUAACUGGGCGUUAAGUUGCAGGGUAUAGACCCGAAACCCGGUGAUCUAGCCAUGGGCAGGUUGAAGGUUGGGUAACACUAACUGGAGGACCGAACCGACUAAUGUUGAAAAAUUAGCGGAUGACUUGUGGCUGGGGGUGAAAGGCCAAUCAAACCGGGAGAUAGCUGGUUCUCCCCGAAAGCUAUUUAGGUAGCGCCUCGUGAACUCAUCUUCGGGGGUAGAGCACUGUUUCGGCUAGGGGGUCAUCCCGACUUACCAACCCGAUGCAAACUACGAAUACCGAAGAAUGUUAUCACGGGAGACACACGGCGGGUGCUAACGUCCGUCGUGAAGAGGGAAACAACCCAGACCGCCAGCUAAGGUCCCAAAGUCAUGGUUAAGUGGGAAACGAUGUGGGAAGGCACAGACAGCCAGGAUGUUGGCUUAGAAGCAGCCAUCAUUUAAAGAAAGCGUAAUAGCUCACUGGUCGAGUCGGCCUGCGCGGAAGAUGUAACGGGGCUAAACCAUGCACCGAAGCUGCGGCAGCGACACUAUGUGUUGUUGGGUAGGGGAGCGUUCUGUAAGCCUGCGAAGGUGGCCUGUGAGGGUUGCUGGAGGUAUCAGAAGUGCGAAUGCUGACAUAAGUAACGAUAAAGCGGGUGAAAAGCCCGCUCGCCGGAAGACCAAGGGUUCCUGUCCAACGUUAAUCGGGGCAGGGUGAGUCGACCCCUAAGGCGAGGCCGAAAGGCGUAGUCGAUGGGAAACAGGUUAAUAUUCCUGUACUUGGUGUUACUGCGAAGGGGGGACGGAGAAGGCUAUGUUAGCCGGGCGACGGUUGUCCCGGUUUAAGCAUGUAGGCGGAGGUUCCAGGUAAAUCCGGUACCUUUUAACGCUGAGGUGUGAUGACGAGGCACUA
rnacentral:rRNA from 1 species